rnacentral:rRNA from 1 species
CCACCAAUCAGGAAAAGCAGGUCUCGCUCAACGGACCCCCAAACAACGUGAUACUGGCACAAACGUCUUCGGUUGGGGCGACCGCGGGAGAGAAAAAAGCUCCCGAGAGGAUUGGGGCUACCCUAAAACCAAGAGCUACACCUCUAAGUCACAAAACAUUUGACCAAAAAUGA